rnacentral:rRNA from 1 species
UACGAAGGGGGCUAGCGUUGCUCGGAAUGACUGGGCGUAAAGGGCGCGUAGGCGGUUUGUACAGUCAGGUGUGAAAUUCCCGGGCUCAACCUGGGGGCUGCACUUGAUACGUAUGGACUGGAGUGGGGAAGAGGGUCGUGGAAUUCCCAGUGUAGUGGUGAAAUACGUAGAGAUUGGGAAGAACACCAGUGGCGAAGGCGGCUAUCUGGACGGUUUCUGACGCUAAGACGCGAAAGCGUGGGGAGCAAACAGG